AUGUCUGUAGGAACGUGCUACAGAGCCCCGAAAAAGCAGAGCCCAGGAGGAGAAAACUGUCUAGGGCUCGGAGUCCGCCGUUUAGAAAGUCCUUCGGCAGAGCAGGGACUCCUGACUCUGGAUGCCUUGGUUUCCACAGCCCCGGGAGUAACUAUUUUGUGGUGUAAGCCAACCAUGGCUGCCCAGUCCCCCUGUCCCUGUGAGCAAGCCAGAAGUCUGCAGGUCACCCAAUUCCGACCAAGGAGACGUGUGGAGAAGGCACCUGGAGCAUUUCUGGAAAAUAUUUUCUUCCCUGAUAAGAAAAGUAAGUCUUGUGAAAACGUCCUUUUGCAUCUUCAUUCUUCCUGCUGUGGAUUCUGUUGCGGGAGAACUGGAUUUUGGAUGUGUGGUGUGUGUUGUUUGUUUGUUUUUUGUUUUUGGCGGAGUCUCGCUCUGUCAUCAGGCUGGAGUGCAGUGGCGCGAUCUCAGCUCACUGUAACCUCUGCCUCCUGGGUUCAAGCGAUUCUUCUGCCUCAGCCUCCCAAGUAGCUGGGAUUACAGGCACCUGCCACCACGCCCAGCUGAUUUUUGUAUUUUUAGUAGAGACGGGGUUUCACUGUGUUAGCCAGGAUGUUCUCAAUCUCCUGACCUUGUGAUCCGUCCACCUCGGCUCCCAAAGUGCUGGGAUUACAGGCAUGAGCCACCACGCCCAGCCAGAUGUGUAGAAUCUUUUGGAAACUGUGUGGGGGCCACAUUCUGACACGCUGGGGUGGCAGAGCAGGAGUGCAGAGGGAGUGGAGCUCUGUAAUCUGUCAGUCCCAGGAAUGCUUGCAGGGAGGUGGGGAGGCGGGGUGGUUUGUGCUGGUUUUAACAUCAGUGUUGGGUGCUUUGCUGGAAGCUUCUCAGGUCAUCGACUCUUAAGGCCUCCCUAUGCUAGGGCUCAACAUCUGGGCUUUCUCUGCACGUGGAAUGAUUCUGAGACCAUGUGAGACUUCACUAGCCACAGCUGUUUUAAAAAUAUUUGCACCUUAGAGGAAGCAGUAAAAAGAUGUGGCAAGAUCGACAUAAAUCCAUCCCUAUUUCAGGAAAAAUGGCUCAGUGCGCGCCCACUGCCGCUGUAUCUCAGGCUGCCUUCUCUAGAGGUGGGAAU
rnacentral:lncRNA from 1 species